UACCAGCACCCCGAGUGGUCGGGACGAUUAUUGGGCCUAAAGCAUCCGUAGCCGGUUCUACAAGUCUUCCGUUAAAUCCAACUGCUUAACAGGUGGGCUGCGGAAGAUACUAUAGAGCUAGGAGGCGGGAGAGGCAAGCGGUACUCGAUGGGUAGGGGUAAAAUCCGUUGAUCCAUUGAAGACCACCAGUGGCGAAGGCGGCUUGCCAGAACGCGCUCGACGGUGAGGGAUG
rnacentral:rRNA from 1 species